rnacentral:rRNA from 1 species
UUGUUUGAGUGUUUUUCUAGCUGUGUAAAUUGUUUUGAUAAGAAAGGCCGUAUAUUUAAGGUGUUUUUAGAUGUUAGUUAAAGUAGUUAAAAAGAAUUUAGAAUAAUGAAAAAUAAAAUUAUUUUUUACUUUUUGAAUCAUGGUUUAUAGAGGGUUGAAAAGAGUUAAAUUUCCUGAAACGUUGAGAUUUAUUAUUUUUGGGGUUCGUUGUUGCAAAACCGAAAGGAAUGAAAUAAUAGGGGUUAUAUGCUUUUCAAUCAACGUGAUAUCUGGUUAAUUAGAAAAUACAUUUAGUGUAGCGUUUGGAAAAAUAGUGGGAUUUUGGGGGUAAUCUUUAAAAUUUUGAUUUUUGUUCUAAGGUAUUACGUGGACUUUAAGUGGGUUUCGUUUAAUGGGUUAAUGCGAAGGUACUAAAAAUUUUUAAAUUAAACUUGUUAUUAUUUCUUAAAUAUUGAUUUUUUAAUAGUAUAAAAUUAUUAGAUAAUAAUAUUAUUUCACUACAGUUAAGGUGUGUGUUGUUUUAGGUGGGUUGAGUUUAUUCCCAAAAGAGGAACUCGGCAAAUAUUAUCUACUGCUUGUUUACCAAAAACAUUUCCCCUUGAUAUGUGGUAAUAAGGGGUAGGCCCUGCCCGGUGAUUUGUUUUUAACGGCUGCAAGUUAUAGCUUGUACUAAGGUAGCGUAAUCAUUAGUUCUUUAAUUGAGGGCGGGUAUGAAGGGGUUGACAUGUUGAUUACUGUCUUCUUUGGGUUAAUUUAAUUUUAUUUUCAGGUGAAAAAGCCUGUGUUCGGGUGAGGGACGAGAAGACCCUAUGAAGCUUUAUUAUCACCUAUGAUACUUAGUGUUAUAGUUUAUAUUUAGCUGGGGCAGCAUGGUGCAUGGAGUACUUAAAUUAUUGAUCCAUUUUUAAUGAGAAAGGAGAGCUACUCUAGGGAUAACAGCGCUAUUUACUCGGUGAGAAGAAAUCUAUGAGUAAGAUUGCGACCUCGAUGUUGGACUAGGAUUUCCUUUAGGUGUAGCAGCUUAAGAGGGUUGGUCUGUUCGACCACUAAAAUCCUACGUGAUCUGAGUUCAGACCCGGCGUAAGCUAGGUCGGUUUCUAUCUUUACUGAAAUAUGUAUUUUUUUUGUACGAAAGGAAUUAAAAAUCGUAAUAUCUUGUGUGUAUUAAUUAAGUGUGGUUUAAUU